AUAAAAUUUCCCUGGAAGAGCGGUCAGGCCUUGGGAUGAGCUGCCCAGGGAGGUUUGGAGUCGCUGGAAUUGUCCCAGAGGAGUCUGGAUGUGGGGACAGGGUUUGGGGUGAUGCUGCUGGGGCUGGGGUGGCACUGGGUGAUCCUGUAGGUCUGGGCAAAGCAGAAAAGUGUUUGAGGAUUUGCACCCAGGUCUUACAAAUUGUCAUGAGGGAAAUAUCUCCUUUAUGGGCAGAACUGCCAAAAUUGUCAGAAGGAGUCUUUUACACUGAAAAUGCAAUCACAGCAUGGUGUCAGUCAGUGAUUAUCAAAGAUAGACUUGUCAUGGGAGUCCUUGGCAAAUUUUAUUGAAGACUCUGAAAGACAAUUUCUCUUCCAUUUACAGCUUUUAAUGAUUAAAGGCCCAUCUUUGUUCCCAGUCAAUAACACCACAAUAGGACCAACCAUUAUCUCUAGCAGAUUAUGACUGUGGUGUAUUUACUUUCAUGAAUAAGAAUUUACCAGCUUUUGAGUGAAGCAAAGGGACUGAAAAGGAAAUAAAUACACACAAACAAAAGAUGAUAAUAAAAUAUCCAGGUAUACUAUACCCCUGUUCCUGCAUGUUCUUCCUUGCCUUCCUAUGUAAGAGAUACAAAAGAAAAUGUUAAAAAGAUAAAUUAAAGAAAGAAUAUCAGAAAUCAGACAGGGAAAACACAGCAGAAGUUAAAUACUGAAUUCAGGAAAAUUAUGUGGAAUUCACUGGAUUCAUUUGGAGAUAAUGUUCUCCAAAUUAACUCACAAAGCAUAUUCAAGCUAAACUUUUAUGUUGGAAAAGGACUAUAAAAUCAUUAAAUUGAGCUCCCUUUUCCUCAGUUACUUCUGAUCAAAACUGCUUCAUUGGCAAGUGAAUUUGGAGCUGGGUUUUGUUUGCUUGUUCAGGUGGAGUUUUUGUGGGAUUUUUUGGUAACUAACUGGUCUAUAAAAUGAAAGUAUAAUCAGCAUUAUAGAGUCUUAUCUAUGCUAUAUAUCAUCAUUCAGAAUCUGGCUUGUGAUUCUGUUCAGUGUUGUAGGCUGCAGCAGAUGCCUUGGCUCAACAGGGAAUAAGAAAUAAUACAAGCUGGUUUUAGACUGUAGAUUGAGCAGAAGUGACAAGAGAGAUAAAAAAGAAAAAAGAAAAAUAAAUGUACAAAGUGAAUGGAAUUUAAUGCUAGAUCCUAAGCUGGCUGUUGGGGGAAAGGGCUGAUCCUACACAAAAUCCCAAAGACAAGAGGCAGAUGUCACAGGGCCAUGCAGAAGGCAGAGGAGUUGAUUUGGGCUCUCAGGGAAUGAGUUAAGGGAAGGAGUUGCAGUGCCAGGGUUUAAAUAUGGCCUGGGGAAUUGCUGAGACAGGAUACAGACUUGCAUUAUAUGAUUUUUCAACAUGUUUCUAAAAUAAUUUUGCCCUGAAGGGAGCCUAAUCUGUACUGAAAACUGAUUUAACUGGGACACCACUUGAAAAAUAUUCUAAACUCCAAGCUUAAAUCUGAAGUCAAAAUCAGGCAGUGAAACUACAGGAAAUUUAUUACAUCAAGUCACCAGCAGGGUCCACGUGAGUUGGAGCUCAAUCUUCCUUCCCUUCAAGAAACUCAAAACCAAAGGGACAGACAAAGCAAGCAUGGGAGGCACUACAUCCAAGUGGACAAAAAGCUCCUGGAUUUCUGCAUCUCCCAGGAACAGCAGCAGAAGUCGGAGAGAGCAGCAUCCUCCGCACUGAACAUCCCCUGCUACUGAGCACUGGGGGAACCUCCCAAAACCUGGACCCUCCCUGCAGCCCCAGGGCUGAGGCAGUCCCAGUUUGCUCUGGUUUCUGUCCUGUGCUCACUGGUGAAGGCUGAGGGAACUUCACCUCCCCGAGACUCUUCCAGAAUUUCUCCUCAGCGCUGACAUUUCUCCCGCGACGCCGCUGGAGAAAAGCUGGCUUGGAUACACCCCACAAAUGGGAGUUGUUUUUGAAGCAGUGCUAAAUAACACCAGAAUUCCAGUACUGAAUUCCCACUGGUGUAUUUCUUCAGCCAUAGAACAUAAAACUGCCAUCUUUCAAAUUUUUUGUGUUGAAAAUACCUCUAUCCUUCAGGACUUAACAUCCAUGGAGAUACUCUGAUGGCAAUCUGGCACUCUUUGAGAGUAUUUACUUUCAUAAAACCCUGCUCAGAUAUGGAAUCUACCAGGACCUUGCAUGAAGAAGCAGAUAAUCCGUGGAGUGGGAAGGUGGAAAAAUGCAAUUUUCUUUAUCUCACUGAUUCUCCACAUAUCUUUUUUAAUGAUUAUAACAUGAAAUACCUGCAGUCCUUUAAGCCUUUCAUGGCUUUGUGGAUGUUAAUUAAAUGAAUUCUCACAAGA